AGCAGUAGCCGCGGUAAUACGUAGGGUGCGAGCGUUAAUCGGAAUUACUGGGCGUAAAGCGGGCGCAGACGGUUACUUAAGCAGGAUGUGAAAUCCCCGGGCUCAACCUGGGAACUGCGUUCUGAACUGGGUGACUAGAGUGUGUCAGAGGGAGGUAGAAUUCCACGUGUAGCAGUGAAAUGCGUAGAGAUGUGGAGGAAUACCGAUGGCGAAGGCAGCCUCCUGGGAUAACACUGACGUUCAUGCCCGAAAGCGUGGGUAGCAAACAGGAUUAGAUACCCGAGUAGUCCCUGUCUCUUAUAC
rnacentral:rRNA from 1 species